rnacentral:rRNA from 1 species
CACGUAGGGCGCGAGCGUUGUCCGGAAUUAUUGGGCGUAAAGGGCUCGUAGGCGGCCUGUUGCGUCCGCUGUGAAAGCCCGGGGCUUAACCCCGGGUCUGCAGUGGAUACGGGCAGGCUAGAGGUAGGUAGGGGAGAAUGGAAUUCCCGGUGUAGCGGUGAAAUGCGCAGAUAUCGGGAGGAACACCAGUGGCGAAGGCGGCUCACUGGCCCGGUACUGACGCUCAGGUGCGAAAGCGUGGGGAGCAAACAGG